rnacentral:rRNA from 1 species
GACGAACGCUGGCGGCGUGCUUAACACAUGCAAGUCGAACGGAAGGGCCCUGCUUUUGUGGGGUUCUCGAGUGGCGAACGGGUGAGUAACACGUGAGUAACCUGCCCUUGACUUUGGGAUAACUUCAGGAAACUGGGGCUAAUACCGGAUAGGAGCUCCUGCUGCAUGGUGGGGGUUGGAAAGUUUCGGCGUUUGGGGAUGGACUCGCGGCUUAUCAGCUUGUUGGUGGGGUAGUGGCUUACCAAGGCUUUGACGGGUAGCCGGCCUGAGAGGGUGACCGGGCACAUGGGGACUGAGAUACGGACCAGACUCCUACGGGAGGCAGCAGGGGGGAAUAUUACACAAUGGGCGGAAGCCUGAGGCAGCAACGCCGCGUUCGGGAUGACGGCCUUCGGGUUGUAAACCGCUUUCGACUGUGACGAAGCGUGAGUGACGGUAAUGGGUAAAGAAGCACCGGCUAACUACGUG